rnacentral:lncRNA from 1 species
GCCCUCCCACCAAGACGAGGCGCGCGCACCAGCAACCAGGGCCCGCUGGCGCCGCCCCGGGUUUCCGCUCCGGGGCUCGUCGGUCGCCGUUCGGUUCCGGUUCUGGCCCCGCCCUCACGCGGGAACCCUCCAGAAGUCUUAAUAUCCGGGACCAGAGGCUGGUUGCAGCGCACAUUUCCGGCAACGAGCGCAAAGGAAGGGAUCCGGUGACGCCUCUUCCCGUCUCCCCAGCGGCCCAGGCUCUGGCUCUCGGUGCGGCAGCGCCAUCUGGUGCCGAGUCUCCCGCCACCCGCGGAGGUGGCACGCGCCCUUCUCUCGGAACCUUCCAGAGAAACCGUGGCCCCUGCUUUCCUUUCUCCCGCCCUGGACGGGGAGGGACCCGAGUCUCCGCCCCGCCGAGUUCCCGCGCGGGAGGGACUUUGUGGCGACUCUGAAGCGGAAGCUGCCUGUAGGAGGAGCUUUACAAACCCAAAAUGGAGCGGAAACUGUUCUUUCUCUAGUUUUAAGUCCAGAAGAAACGGCGUCCUUUUAUUUUUUGCUUCCUUAUGCGUUGUUGCUGGGUCAUUCUCAGUCUUCCCCGUAUCAGUUCUUUAAUCUUUGAGGACUGGGACCCUGUAUUAAUUGCCUGGUAGGAAGAUGACACGAGCUUUGUGGCUUACAUUGGCCUCUGCUGUAAAAGCUUUUGUUUCCUUUGGCCUAUUAAAGCGCUGUUGUAAAAGCCUGCUGUGUAUGUUAGGAACCCAUCGAGAAGCAGAAUGUAGUAAUUUGCUUUAAAAUAGGCCAUGGAAGUUUCAGAAAGGUAGCCUCAGAAAUGCUCAAUGUAGAUUCGUUUGCAUGUCACGUUUCUUUUAGAUAAUCAGAGAAAGGAAAAGUAAUUUCCCCAAAGUUAGUAAAAUCAACACAUUUUCCUUUAAUAAUGUUCUUUUUUUCCUGUAAUCUUGGAGUACUAACAGAGUUGUUCUAAAUGUUUUAUUGGAAUGGUGCUGUGGAUAUCAAAAUAUAUAAUGAAACAAAUUUCCUUUAGAGUUUAGAUAGCACAUGUUAACUUGACUCUUUGAUUGUAUUUCUCCUAUAGUAAUGCUUCUCAAACUGGAGCAUGCAUCCAGAUUCUCUAGAAGGCUUGUUAAAACAGAUUGCUGGGCCUCAACACCAGAGGUUAUAACUGGGAGGGAAGGUCUGAGGAUACAGCUGGAUUAGUGUAGCUCUAGUAAAAUCUCAGGUGAUUCUGAUGCUGUUGGUACUAGGACCACACCUGGAAUAAUUUAGAGUUCAGGAUUGCUUUGUCAAUAAUGCUUUUUGCUGUUGCAGGACAGACGGUACUAAAAUAUACUGGUGAUACUAAGCCUGCACAAGUUAGUAGUCCUUUUGACUCCGUGGAUGGGAAGUAGUAAACUAAACCCUAGAACCAGUAGAGAGCUACAUAAAUGUUCACAGAUUAAAGCAACCAGUUCAUAGAAAUGUAUUCUGUAUAUGAUCAUGUGAUAGAGGGUGCUGUAAUACCAAGUAUACUAAAUAUUUCAGUUAUUAUACAGUAAUUGUUCUUUAGCUGUUAAAUUAGAAAUGACUAAAAUUAAGGACAAAAUAGUUUAAACAAUCAUACUAAUUUUACCCUUUGGAAGAUGCCAGGUUUUUUUCAGUCUUUUGCAUUUCCUCAAGUUCCCUUGUUUUACGGAAUUCUCUACCCCCAGCCCACUCCCAUCCCUACCGUGCCAUUUAUAAAUGUACACAGUGCUUACAUUAUAAAAAAUGAUCAUCUCAGAACUUGUCUCAUCUUUUCAGCAGGACUUUUCUCAAUUCUGUCAAAUUCUGACUGUGCCACUGCCUUUAUUGACACAGUAAUUAAAUCACGCAGUGAUUAAAGUGUGCUGCACACUGUAACUUUUGUGCUUGCUACAAAUAGAAAUACAGAUAUUGUUAGAUAAGUUUAUGUUUAUGAUAAUCAGUUCCUAAAAUGUAGAAAGCAGUCGGUUUUCUGGUCUCAGUUUUAUUUAAAUCACUGCUAUUUUGUUUACUGGAUGUAAGCUUCCCCCUCUCUGCUCUAGCCUGAAUGGGCCUUCGUGAAAAGAAGAAAAAAAAGAUUGAGAACAACUGUCUUAAAACCAUGGUAUUUCCCUAAUAGGCUAGUACCAUGUAUUUGGAUAAUUACUGAUGAAUCAUUUAAAUCAGGGAAAGGUGCAUGGUUUUGUUUUUUUGUUGUUUUUUCUCUUUUUUUUUUUUUUUUUUUUUGAGAUGGAGGCUUGCUCUGUCGCCCAGGCUGGAGUGCAGUGGCCAGAUUUCAGCUCACUGCAAUCUCUGCCUCCCGGGUUCAAGCGAUUCUCCUGCCUCAACCUCCUGAGUAGCUGGGACUACAGGCGUGUGCCACCACACCUGGCUAAUUUUUUUGUUUUAUUUAUUUAUUUAUUUAUUUGAGACGGGGUUUUGCUCUUGUUGCCCAGGCUGGGGUGCAAUGGUGCGAUCUCAGCUCAUCACAACCUCUGCUCCCAGGUUCAAGUGAGUCUUCUGCCUCAGCCUUCCUGAGUAGCUGGGAUUACAGGCAUGUGCCACCAUGCCUGGCUAAAAUUUUGUAUUUUCCUUAGUAGAGAUCAGUUUUCUCCAUGUUGGUCAGGCUGGUCUCGAAUUCCUGACCUCAGGUGAUCCACCCGCCUUGGCCUCUCAAAGUGCUGGGAUUACAGGUGUGAGCCACCGCGCCUGGCCUAAUUUUUUGUAUUUUUAGUAGAGACGGGGUUUCACCGUGUUAGCCAGGAUGAUCUCGAUCUCCUGACCUCGUGAUCCGCCUGCCUCGGCUUCCCAAAGUGCUGGGAUUACAGGCGUGAGCCACUGUGCCUGGCCCGAAAGGUGAAUGUUCUUUGCCUUAUUUUAAACUUUAUUGUAAUAAAUUCACUAAUGAAGCAGGCAGAGAAGAUGUAAAGGACACUUCAUUAGUAAUGCUAUAUUUCAUAUACCUGCUGUAUUUUGGGAGCAUUAUUGCUAUCAUUUGGUUUGUUGGAUCCCUCCAAAUCUCACGUUGAAAUUUGAUCCCCAGUGUUGGAGGUGGGGCUUAAUGGGAGAUGUUUUCAGACAUGGGGGUGGAUCCCUGACACAGGGCUUGAUGCCCUCCUAGUGAUAAUGAGUGAGUUUUCUAUUAGUUGCUGUCAGAGCUGGUUGUUAAGAGCCUGGCACCUCCCUCCUAUCGAUUUUCUUGCUGCUUUGUCUUGCUUCCUCGCUUACCAUGUGAUCUCUGCACAUGCUGGUUCUCCUUCACCUUCACCCACAAGUGGAAACAGCCUGAGGCCCUCACCAGAAAUAGCUGCUGGUACCAUGCUUCUUGUACAGCCUACAGAACUGUGAGCCAAGUAAACCUCUUUUCUUCAUAAAUUACCCAGCCUCAGUCUCACUCUGUCGCCCAGGCUGCAGUGCGGUGGCUCAGUCUCCACUUACUGCAACCUCCACCUCCCGGGCUCAAGUGAUUCUCCUGCCUCAGCUUCCUGAGUAGCUGGGAUUACAGGCAAGAUUAAUGUUUUUUAUUUGUAAUCAAUUUAAGCCUAAUACAUGUUCUAAUAAUUUUUGUAUUUCAUAUAUGGAUAAAUUAUAAUAAUUCUUUUAAAGUGAAAGUAUUGAUGAGAGAUACUUUUUUUUGGAAUAGCUCAUUUUAAGCCCCUGAUACUUGAUAUGGAUAAAAUAUUUUCAGUGUUUAAUAAAAUGUUGAAAUAUAUUUAACUUUACUAAUUUGAGCCCUGCCAAUUAUAAUACUUUAGAAAAAGUGAAAAUAUAAUAGUACAUUUAUAAGGCUUUUAAGUAUUCACAAAAUAGUCAUUUCCCAGUAGAUGUUUUUCAGCUCUUAUGAUACAGUGUUUUCUUUUUCUUUUGGCCAUGUAUUGAUCAGAAUUAGUCAUUAACUUUACUAACAACUGGAUUUAGUUUGUCAGCCUUGAUGGUUUGGUUACACAGAUGUAGCUAUUGUGUCAACCCCACUGUUUUAAAUAUGUUCCUAUGCCAGGUGAAAUUUGAUCCCUUUAAGCAAAUUUCUGUUAAACACUUUGUGUCAGUUUCAGUAACGUUUCCCCAAUGAACAUUCCUACUGUACAAAAUUUUACAUAUGUGUAUUUACAUAUUUAUACUUUUUUCACAAAUGUGGGAAUUUAGGAUACUAUGUUUGUAAAAAUUGGGCAAUUUUUCUUGAAGAUAAUUUUUAAAAUUACAGCAAAACAUAGGGCCCUGAGAAGAAGAGGUAAAAUAUAUGGAAGAGCAAGUAUGUAUAGAUAAUUUUGUAACGUAACCUUGAGAGAAAUAUAGAAAACUGAGACAACAUAAGCCAAAGGAAAGGAAUUGGGAUGUAAAACCUUUAGGGUAGAGCAGUGCUCUGCUGUGGUCAUUUAUGCCUUGGCAUUAAGUUCUUUUGAAUAUAAAACAAUGCAUUUAGAAGGAUUUUAAGACUAUAUCACAGUGCACUGGCAUUUUCUUCUUCAAUUUUCCAGGGCUAAAUAAGGUAAUUGAAUAAUAAAACUUAAAAGCAUUUUUCAUUUCAUGAAGAUCCAAGAAAAAAUAUUUCAUAACAAUUUUUAUUUACAAGAAGGAAAAACAUAUUCAUAAGAAUCUUAGAUGAUUAGUAGGUUAAUGAAAUAAAAAGUUUGUUAGGAAGAAGGAAUACUAGUUAUUGAACAAUGCCAAUUUUUUCUAUUUAAAAAUAUUUAAAAUGCCAUUAGUUGAUUUAUUUAAUGAGCCAUCAGCCUUUAUUUUAGAUUCACUAUAACUCUGAUCUCCUAAACCUGCUUUUCCUAUCAGGUCUUAAAUAUUUCAUCCCUGCUUUCUUUUACAAUAUAGUUUUUGGGAAUGUAACUAUCAUGUUGAUAAGUAAUGCUAGGUGAAGGAAAAAGUUAAAACAACUCCAAUGCUAGGCAGUGAUAUACCAUAGAAAAAUAAAUGAGCCAAAGAUAGGGGAAGUGAUUUUUUUUGGAGGAAGAAAACAGAAAUGAGAACAAGAGGACAUGGAUGACUGCUGAAAAACUGACCAAGUUCCUCUUCAGUCUUCUAACAGAAUUUGGAAGAUGUUCUUAGCAUGCAACUGUUGGUUGAAAAAAACCCAAAUGUACAAGGGCCAUCAGUUCUUAAAAGUGGAAUAGUGCAUAGAAAGCUUAUUGACACAACAUAGCAGUUUGAUGAAAUGGACUGAAGCCAUUUCUGUGGAGUGGACUCGUGGAAAAUGUGAUGCCUGAUUCAUAAAAUUGUACACAGUUGAAUGUUGCUAUAUAGGUAAGGUUUUGCAAACUCAGGACUCUCAGGAAACAUCAAAGGUAUAUAGUUGGCACACUUAAUUUUAGAUAUGUGUGAUACGUUUGUGAUUUUUUUUAAAAAAAUAUUUCCAGGAAUGCUUAAGAAGAUUAUACCACCUCAUGCUAUAAAAUAAAACUAACUUGGAGAAUUCAACAAUGUUUGCUGUUUUAAUAUGCAUCUUACAAAGAUAAUUAUAAACACUGAGAGUAUUUACUGCAAUGCCCUGAAUAUAGUAUGCCUAAAGAAUUUUCUGUAUAAAAAUAAUUGUAUUUAUUUUAGUUAAAAAUUGAGUAAAAUAUACAUGCAUCAAAAUAAUUUCUAGGUAGACCAAAGUGAUAUAUGUAAAGAAAGACAAAAUCAAAAAUCAGGAAAUUGCUGGUGAAUAUCUAAUCUCGG